GGCCUCCUGAUGCUUACCACAGGCUGUGGUUUUUGCACUGACUGUAUACAAAGAGGUGGCAAGGUAUACCUAUUCCAUAUACACCUCAGCCCUGUGCCUGGUCUGAAUUGUGAAUGGGUAGACAUGG
rnacentral:snoRNA from 1 species